UUCUUGUAUCUGCCUAUCUGGGGGGUAGAAAUUGAGAACAACUUUCACUUGAAACUGACAUGGCUGCCCUUGAUAUAUCGGGAGAUGGCCGUCUGAGAUGCCACAUUUGCUCCAGAAUUUCGCCUUCUUUUUUCCCCAACUGCCCCCAAUGUGGUUCUGAUACAUUUGUUGCCCUGCAAGUAGAAUCUCAUCCACGUUUGACUCAAGAUUUCUUCCAAAAUCACCUUGAAUCACAACCCAUUUCUGUUCAAAAGCUGAUUUAUGAAAAAAGAGCAAAAGAGCUCAUCAACUCCUUUCAACGGAAAGGAUUUUUACUUCAAACGGAGAGGACGAUAAUAGUACAUAUCAGCAUCAGGCCUGAUUUCGAAUGUUCUCAGAUCAAUACUCUGUUUGCCCAAGAUGCCAUUCGUGACCGGUUUGUCGAUCAAAAUCGGACGUUUAUGCUAAGGCCAAGGUUCGUGGGCGGUGCACCACCAAACUCCACUGCCUACCUUCUCUCUUGUCCGCGUGGUGUUACUGCAACACAAAUAGCAAGUACCCGUUUUGACUCACCUCGCCUAAUACCCCCCCAUUUCCUCGAUGCUACAAAUCCAUAACAUUCCCCUUGUUGGCAUGCCUCUUUUUUGUUCUAUUUGCAAGCUGCCUAAAGAUGAUGUGAGCAGAGAUGAAAUGGAUGAGGAAACUGAUGUGGCGGGUCGACAUUCUUUUAGAGUCUUAAACCCGUGUUCUCAUAUUUUUCACGCAAAAUGCAUCAGCAACUGGUUUCAAAGUGAGCGCCUCGAUUGUCCUCAAUGCCGGUAUAUUGUGCUUACCAGUGAUGAUGAUUUCAAUUUGUGGGCCUCGCUUCAUAAUGAUAGGCUGGCGGUAGAAGGUGGUGCAGGAACUCAUUUGGAAGUUUGAAGGAGAGAGAUCUGUUUAGUGACCUUACUAUUAACUGGUAGAUGUGCAUAUGAAUAUGAUGUAGUAAUUUCUUACUAAUUUGGCAUCUCCUGAACUACUUUUCCACACUCCCUUAAUUCCACAUCUGAGCUAAUUAAACGUUUUAAAUUUUUUUAAAUGUUUAUGUGGUUAUACUUUCUUGUGUGAUGCUGCUAAUGUUUAUUUGGUUUCUAUGCAAAAAAUAGUGGUUUAGUUUAUUAAUUGAGUUGGGUGUGUCAACUGAGCAAAACUAUACAUUCAUGUGAAAAACAUUAAAGAAUCAAUCAUAUACAAGGACCUUGGUAAAAUAUGAAGUCUGUUAGGCAAAAGAGUACUGGGCAUUGUAAAAUAAUGAACUCGCUUGAUACGAGUAAACUCAAUUCGUCGUUGUGGACCUGUAGUCACGAGCAGACAAGUCUAUGUCCAAAAGAAAAAUUGGUUGGCAGAAUCUGUAAAUUAAACCUUUUAUAGCGUAACCUGUGGAUUUGGGGAGAACAGGAUAUGGGUAAAUGGGAAUUGAAAUCUACUUAACUUGUGAAAGUGUUUGAUAUCUAUGAGAAAGGCUAGCUUGGCUUGAGCUGGUUCGUAGCCAGUGGUGGGUUUACUUUAAUUAACUGAUCUCUCUCACUUGCCUGAUACUCACUUUUUGAUGGAAAAAACUAACCGCAGCGAGCUGUUUAUGUCUAGGAAUAAUGCGGGUCGUUGGUGAGGAAGUCUUAAGCCUUCUGGUACCAUUAAUGAUAAUGUAAAUUACAUACGGUACUAUAGUUGAAAUGUUUAGAUUCUGCCUCUGUUUAAGAUAUUAUUGAAGCUUGUGAAUUGUGAUUGUAUGCAACCAGAAUUUGCUUCAGAGUAA